GGACUCUGAAUUCUGGCCUGAAUCUGUCACAUAAUUUCUAAGGAGUUUUAUACACAGAACAGCCUGAACGACAGUCCAAACCACCAAGAACAGUCAUCGGUCCUGAUGGAGGCUAACGUCUCCGAGUCAGACUGGCUGUUCGCUGCUAUUUAUGUCAGAGCACGCCCAGUGGCGGAAUCAAGAUGAUGGGGCUGUGGAAGCGAAGGGGAUAGACGUACUCUGAGAACUGAAGGAGAAGGCAGAUUUGGGAAACAGAGCUGGCUGCAUGAGAAUCAGGAGUUAUCAACCACAUUUUUCUCACCACACUGAGAAGCAGAGGAGAGAAAGGGAGAGAGAGAGAAUGGAUUUUGAUGAUUUCUACCAGAUAAAGAAUUAUUAGCAGGCAAAUGAGCAAGUACAACAGAGAUUGUUCCAAAAGUCUUUGGCCCUUUGUUUACACUUUGGGAAAAAGCUGGAGGAGCAGCAAUGAUGGAAGUCGGCCUCCCUGCUGUUCUCACGUGUUUCAUAGACUCAGAUCAUUGGAAGAUGUGUUCUUAAUAGUGAGAGAGAGACCAAGAAAGUGUCUACCAAACAUCCACCAGUUGAAUUGGAGAACAUGGACAAGAUUGCUAUGUAAACUGUGAAGUUCUGAUUCUACAACAUACUGCAGGAUGGGGUUUUCAUAGGAUCUCUCUAGGCAACAAAUGGAUAGAAAUCCAUUUAUCACUGAAAAUAAGCACAAUUACUUAAUAAACUGUUUACUUGACAGCUGGCAGAGCAGAAAGGUGUAACUCGGCUCAUGGUUUGAGAUACCACUUCUACAGUGAGAGCUGCUUAUGUGUGAAACAAUACACCAUAGAAACGAACAGAAUCAUAAACAUCGGCUGUGGAGUUUGAGUGAGAUGCAAACAAGAUGGAACCUCUUGUAAUUAAAUAACUGGGAGAGAACUAGCCGUCCUGCCACCAACAACUGUAAAAGAGGAGAAAAUAUAUGAAAUAAAUGUAUUCACAUACUGGAGAACAAGAAGUACAAGAUUGUGUCCUCUAAGGGAAGGGAAAGAGCAUGUGAACAUCAGGACGGCCUGGAACAUUAGUCUAAAGGCUCUUUCUCAAUUAGAGCAUUAGGUGGUGAAACUCAAGCAGAGCACGCAGGUCUCCUUGAGCUUAGGAGACAGAGUUUGAAAGAUGAGGCUCAGAUUUCCAGUUUCUGGUCCAGCGUGGAAGAAGCUAACAAGUCAACACUUCAUCUUAUCAAAAAGUAAAAGUUGAGAAGACUGAAAAGCCAUAAGAGAAGUGAGGUCACAGGGCAAGUCAUGGCCCCUGAAAUUGGAGAGACCAACAUGCAAAUAUAGAGAAUCACAAUUUAUCGGAACAGAAACCCAAAAGGAACAACCUCUACAGAAACCAGUGGUGAGUAUAUCAUGUCCAACUAUCAAAAAAAUAAAUUAUAAGACAUACUCAAAGGCAAAAAAAUGUUUGAAGAGACAGAGCAAGCAUCAAAACCAGACUCAGACAUGGCAUAGAUAUUGGAAUUAUCUGACUACGAAUUUAAAAGGACUAUGGUUAACAUGCUAAGGGCUCUAAUGGAUAAAGUAGACAGCAUUCAGGAACAGAUAGAUAAUGUAAGAAGAGAGAUGGAAAUCCUAAGUAAGGACCAAAAAGAAAUGCUAGCGAUCAAAAACCCUGUAAGAGAAAUGAAGAAUGCCUUUGAAUGGCUCAUCAGUAGAGUGGACACAGCUGAGAAAAAAAUCUCUGAGCUUAAACAUACAGCAAUAUAAAUCUCCAAAACUGAAAAGCAAAGAGGACAGAGACUGAAAAAAACCCCAGAAUAUCCAAGGACCAUAGUACAAGUACAAAAGAUGCAACAUACAUAUAAUGGGAAUACCAGAAAUAGAAGAAAAAGAGAAGUAAGAGAAGAAAUUUUUGAAUCAAUAAUGACAGAGAAUUUCCUCCCAAAUUAAAGUCAGACAGCAAACCACAGAUCCAGGAAGCUCAGAGAAUACCCAACGGAAUAAAUGCUAAAAAACAUCCCCGAAAAACUACACCUUGGCAUGAUAGUUUCAAACUCUAGAAAAUCAAAUAUAAAGAAAAAAUCCUGAAAGAGGAAAAAAACCUCAUAUUACUUAUAGAGGAACAAAGAUAAAAAUUAUGUCUAACUUAUCCUUAGAGAUCAAGAAAACAAGAAGAGAGUGGAGUGAAAUAUUUAGUGUUGAGAGAGAAAAAAUAAUCCACCUAGAAUUCUGUACACUGCAAAAUUAUACUUAAAAGGUGAUAGAGAAAUACUUUCUAAGAAAACAAAAAUUGAGGAAAGCUUUUGCCAACAGAUUUGCCUUGCAAGACAUGUUAAAAGAAGUUCUUUAGAGAGAAGGAAA
rnacentral:lncRNA from 1 species